rnacentral:rRNA from 1 species
CCUACGGGAGGCAGCAGUGGGGAAUAUUGGGCAAUGGGCGCAAGCCUGACCCAGCAACGCCGCGUGAAGGAAGAAGGCUUUCGGGUUGUAAACUUCUUUUCUGAGGGACGAGGAAAGUGACGGUACCUAAGGAAUAAGCCACGGCUAACUACGUGCCAGCAGCCGCGGUAAUACGUAGGUGGCAAGCGUUAUGCGGAUUUAUUGGGUGUAAAGGGCGUGUAGGCGGGAAAGCAAGUGAGAUGUGAAAACUCAGGGCUCAACCCUGAGCAUGCAUAUGAAACUGUUUUUCUAGAGUGCUGGAGAGGCAAUCGGAAUUCCGGGUGUAGCGGUGAAAUGCGUAGAGAUACGGAGGAACACCAGUGGCGAAGGCGGAUUGCUGGACAGUAACUGACGCUGAGGCACGAAAGCGUGGGGAGCAAACAGGAUUAGAUACCCCAGUAGUC